rnacentral:rRNA from 1 species
GAUGAACGCUAGCUACAGGCUUAACACAUGCAAGUCGAGGGGCAGCAUGGUCUUAGCUUGCUAAGGCCGAUGGCGACCGGCGCACGGGUGAGUAACACGUAUCCAACCUGCCGUCUACUCUUGGACAGCCUUCUGAAAGGAAGAUUAAUACAAGAUGGCAUCAUGAGUUCACAUGUUCACAUGAUUAAAGGUAUUCCGGUAGACGAUGGGGAUGCGUUCCAUUAGAUAGUAGGCGGGGUAACGGCCCACCUAGUCUUCGAUGGAUAGGGGUUCUGAGAGGUAGGUCCCCGAAAUGGGAACUGGGACACGGACCAAACGCCUACGGGAGGCAGCAGUGAGGAAUAGUAGGCAGUGGGCGAGAGCCUGAACCAGCCAAGUAGCGUGAAAGAUGGCUGCGCUGUGGGUAGUAAACUUGUUUUAGAAUGGAAUAAAGUCGGGUAUGUAUACCCGUAUGCAUGUACUUUAUGAAUAAGGAACGGCUAACUACGUG